rfam:Cricetulus griseus cell line CHO-K1, whole genome shotgun sequence.
AGACUCCGGAGCAAUCUGGGUACAACACCAGCUAUGCCAUUGAUAUCAAGGCUCAUUCAGUUGAUAUGGCUGACUAGGAGCCCUUCCCCUUCCUCCCUCACUACUCCUGAAGAGUACAGCCCGUGGAAGAGGACAGCCUUCCCCGUAGAGGAGAACUGGUCUUCAGUCAAGGGCAUUCAAGUAGCGGCUUUCCUCCACUAGACCCCACACACACACACACACACACACCCUACUAUUUCUUGGGUGCACUUAGAA